UUGAACUGAAGAGUUUGAUCCUGGCUCAGAUUGAACGCUGGCGGCAUGCCUUACACAUGCAAGUCGAACGGCAGCACGGGUGCUUGCACCUGGUGGCGAGUGGCGAACGGGUGAGUAAUACAUCGGAACAUGUCCUGUAGUGGGGG
rnacentral:rRNA from 1 species